rnacentral:lncRNA from 10 species
CUGUGGAUAGAGAGUGGGGUAUCUCCAUGGAAACAGCGGUGAAGGAGGAGAGGAUGAAGUAGAUGCAGGUGGGUCUGUCAGUUUGGUGGUGGGAAGCUGGUAGAGUUUCUUUUAUGUGGGUUCUGUUAACUCUCUGGAGUAAGAGGCAAGAUUGUCUGCUGAGAGGCUGAAGAUGAAAUUUAUGUGAUGGACCAGCACCAGAUGAAGCCUGAGAAGUUUGCCGAAAGAACAAAGGAGCAGAGCCAUUUCUAUUGUUUGUGGCCAACAACCCUGACUGGUACACCUGCUUAAACCAAGAGCAUUGUUACAUCUGCAAGAAGAGUCUGCAGCUCACCAUAGUGUAUUUAAGUUCUCAACAUCCAAGUUAUGUAGAAGACUCCAAGUUGAGGAGUGGGCAUUCACACUUGUUCUUGUUGCUCAGGAAAAUUAACCUCAUUCAGACUGAGGAGAACAGAAAUACUUUGAGAAAUCUCACAAAAUAGCCAUCAUAAUGUGAAGAAGCCGAAGCAGCCUGUGAAGAGGCGCUAGUGGAAAGGAACUCAGGUGCCCCUGCCCUCAGUCCCAGCUGAACUCUCAGCUGACAGCCAUCACCAACUUGCCAGCCACAGGAGUGAGCCAACUUGAGAGUGGAUCUUUCAGUCCCAGUGGAGCCAUCUCAGCUGACACACCAUGGUAAAAAGAUGAACCAUCCUUGCUGAUCCUUGCCAGUGCUGCAGAUACAUAAGCAAAAUAAAUGUUUUUGUU